rfam:Salmo salar isolate Sally breed double haploid chromosome ssa18, whole genome shotgun sequence.
UGCAUUCACUACUGUAAGCCGCUCUGGAUAAGAGCGUCUGCUAAAAUGACUAAAA